AACGAACGCUGGCGGCAGGCUUAACACAUGCAAGUCGAGCGCGUAGCAAUACGAGCGGCAGACGGGUGAGUAACGCGUGGGAACGUACCCUUUUCUACGGAAUAACCCAGGGAAACUUGGACUAAUACCGUAUACGCCCUUCGGGGGAAAGAUUUAUCGGGGAAGGAUCGGCCCGAGUUGGAUUAGCUAGUUGGUGGGGUAAAGGCCUACCAAGGCGACGAUCCAUAGCUGGUCUGAGAGGAUGAUCAGCCACAUUGGGACUGAGACACGGCCCAAACUCCUACGGGAGGCAGCAGUGGGGAAUAUUGGACAAUGGGCGCAAGCCUGAUCCAGCCAUGCCGCGUGAGUGAUGAAGGCCUUAGGGUUGUAAAGCUCUUUCACCGGGGAAGAUAAUGACGGUACCCGGAGAAGAAGCCCCGGCUAACUUCGUGCCAGCAGCCGCAGUAA
rnacentral:rRNA from 1 species